AACGUAGGUGGCAAGCGUUAUCCGGAUUUACUGGGCGUAAAGCGUGUGCAGACGGGGUGACAAGUGGUGUAUGAAAGGGCCCGGCUCAACCGGGCGGUGGUAUGCCAGACUGUCAUGCUGGAGACAGAGAGAGGGACGUGGAAUUCCGGGUGUAGUGGUGAAAUGCGUAGAGAUCCGGAGGAACCCCCGAGGCGAAGGCGGCGUCCUGGCUCUGGUCUGACGUUCAGACACGACAGCAUGGGGAGCGAACGGG
rnacentral:rRNA from 1 species